rnacentral:rRNA from 1 species
CGGGUUAAGUCCCGCAACGAGCGCAACCCCUAUUGUUAGUUGCCAUCAUUCAGUUGGGCACUCUAGCGAGACUGCCGGUAAUAAACCGGAGGAAGUGGGGAUGACGUCAAAUCAUCAUGCCCCUUAUGACCUGGGCUACACACGUGCUACAAUGGUUGGUACAACGAGUUGCGAGUCGGUGACGGCGAGCUAAUCUCUUAAAGCCAAUCUCAGUUCGGAUUGUAGGCUGCAACUCGCCUACAUGAAGUCGGAAUCGCUAGUAAUCGCGGAUCAGAAUGCCGCGGUGAAUACGUUCCCGGGCCUU